rnacentral:rRNA from 1 species
UACGAAGGGGGCUAGCGUUGUUCGGAAUUACUGGGCGUAAGGCGUGCGCAGGCGGUUUCUUAAGUCAGAUGUGAAAGCCCCGGGCUUAACCUGGGAACUGCGUUUGAAACUGGGAGACUUGAGUGUGGCAGAGGGGGGUGGAAUUCCACGUGUAGCAGUGAAAUGCGUAGAUAUGUGGAGGAACACCGAUGGCGAAGGCAGCCCCCUGGGUCAACACUGACGCUCAUGCACGAAAGCGUGGGGAGCAAACAGG